CAAGUCGAAGGUGAAGCAGGGCUUCGGCCCUGUGGAAACUGGCGCACGGGUGAGUAACGCGUGGGAAUCUACAUUGGGGUGGGGAAUAACCGCUGGAAACGGCGGCUAAUACCGCAUACGCCUUUCGAGGGAAAGCUUUUGCGCCCUGAGAUGAGCCCGCGUCGGAUUAGCUUGUUGGUGGGGUAAAAGCCCACCAAGGCGACGAUCCGUAGCUGGUCUGAGAGGAUGAUCAGCCACACUGGGACUGAGACACGGCCCAGACUCCUACGGGAGGCAGCAGUGGGGAAUAUUGGACAAUGGGGGCAACCCUGAUCCAGCCAUGCCGCGUGCGUGAAGAAGGCCUUAGGGUUGUAAAGCGCUUUCGGCGGGGAAGAUGAUGACGGUACCCGCAGAAGAAGCCCCGGCUAACUCCGUGCCAGCAGCCGCGGUAAUACGGAGGGGGCAAGCGUUGUUCGGAAUUACUGGGCGUAAAGGGCGCGUAGGCGGACCAUCAUGUCAGGGGUGAAAGCCCUGGGCUCAACCUGGGAACUGCCCUUGAAACUGAUGGUCUAGAGUCCGAGAGAGGAUGGCGGAAUUCCCAGUGUAGAGGUGAAAUU
rnacentral:rRNA from 1 species